GAAACUCUCCUUAGCUCAGUUGGAAGAGCGUGAGACUGUAAUGGACGACAUGUCAUCUCAAGGUCCCUGGUUCGAGUGAGUUUCG